ensembl:lncRNA
UGGAUGGGAACCCAGACAAUGACAACAUGGACAUCAGUAUGUGUGUGUUUCAGUGAGGUGGAUGGGAACCCAGACUAUGACAACCUGGACAUCAGUAUGUGUGUGUUUCAGUGAGGUGGAUGGGAACCCAGACUAUGACAACAUGGACAUCAGUAUGUGUGUGUUUCAGUGAGGUGGAUGGGAACCCAGACUAUGACAACAUGGACAUCAGUAUGUGUGUGUUUCAGUGAGGUGGAUGGGAACCCAGACUACGACAACCUGGACAUCGUAAACCGAGAUGCAGAGGAAAAGUACUUUGAUGAGGAGGAGGAGGAAGAGGAUGAAUCAGAAGAGAAAGAGAUGUCUCAGUAGUUGUCAUGACAGCAGCUGUUUAUGGCAUGUAAAUAUGAAACUAACCCUUUUGUAAAAACUCAGUAGAUUUCAAAUCACUAUCAGCAUUCAUUUGGUUGUAUAAUUAUCAAUAAAUCAUGUUUGUUUAAGUUA